CUGGGAUUAAUGACAGUCUGGG
rnacentral:miRNA from 11 species